UCUGUUUAUUCGAAUAUCGACAAACGUCGGUCGAUGAACAGGUCCAACAGCAUCGGCAAAAUAUUUCAUCGAUUAGAGUUUCGUACAAAGUUGUCGUUGACAUAUCAAGCAACACAUUUCAUUCGCAAUUACUCGGAAGUAAAUACAUAGUAUGCUUACAUAAUGGUAAAAGCGGAUGCGAGGAAAUUCUUCUUAUGCCAUCGAUUUUAUGCUUCAGGAUCUGUAUGAACAAAAUAUUGUUAUGAAAUAAAAGAAAAAGAAGUGGAAAAUCUAACCUAACGUCUAUAAACUUUGGCGCACACGUAUCAGAAUAUGACAAAAGAUAAUAUAGAAAACGGUAAAUGGGCGUUCAAUACUAAUAUGUAUAGAUGAUAUACUAUAAAACUUAUUAAAUAUUUUAUAUAUAUAUAUAUAUUUCUUAUAUAUUUAGUUAUAUAUAUAUACAAUCAGCCUGGUUAUACGUUUUAUGCCAUCAAGUUCUUUAAUAUUGUUCCUUUUUCCUUGCCAAUUCGAAAGAAGUUAAAACCUAAAAUGAAACGAUCGCUUUUUCGACAGUUUCGUAUAUGUAUAUACAUAUAUACAUCGAAGGCUCAUCAAAAGAAGCGUAUCAAAUAACACAUAUUACGUGUUAAGACGUAUAUACUUUCUUAUUUUUCUUAUUUUUCUUAUUUCUUAUUUCAUUCGAUUCGGGCGAUGUAUUUGUUUAAAAAGCGUUCGUUUAGUUCAAUCCAACGAGGGUCGUAUCUAUUGGAUCCACUAGGUUUCAAACGUUCUCUGCAUUAUUUGAUUAAUAUGUAUUUCCCGGUUAAACGCGUAAAGAUGAGCGUAUCCGAGUAAUUAGCAAGAACUCUUUGAAGAGCUCUAAAGGACAACGAAGGAACCAGAAAGAUCGUGACAACCGCAAAUUAUAAAAGUGAAAGCUAGCGGACCCAUGGUCUAGGAUUCGGAUGAAAAUGCUCGAUCUCUUGUUCAAAAUGUGUAAAGAAUCUGAAGGAAAGCACAAUAACUUAUUAAAUACUACAGACGACAUUCAAGACAAUGGCAACCAAAGGGCACAAAUUUUUCGCUCAGGUUUUUAUGUACGAAAUAAAUAUUCAUUAGGCAUGCAGUGUUACGAAAGAAAAGUUUGUGAAUCGGAAAGUUUCAUCGAUUGGCUUUGCUCAUUUACAGUUAAUUCACAAUAUUGUUUUGGUAACAUAUGAAAAGUACGUUAGUAUCGAGAUUGCCUUGGGAGAAGGAACAUUCAUGUUCUUAAAAAUUCGCGAGGCGUCUUCGAUUGAUUGAAAACCCGCGGUCAUGUAUAACAGCUUAACGAACUAUUUCAUUCGCUGUAAAAUAAUCUACUGUACUGUAAAAUGAUGAUGAUGAUGACGAUGAUGAUGAUGAUGAUGAUGAUGAUGAUGCUAAUGAUGAUAAUGAUGACGAUGAUGAUGAUGAUGAUGAUGAUGAUGACAGGGUAGUAGUGGCAAUGGUGUUGAAAACGGUACUGGUAGUGGUAGUGAUGGAAGUGACGAUUAUAAAGAUGAAGCUAAUAAUGACAAUAAUGGCGAUGAAAAUGAUAACAAC